rnacentral:rRNA from 1 species
ACAGGCCUAACACAUGCAAGUCGAGGGGCAGCACAAGGAGCAAUCUGAGGUGGCGACCGGCGCACGGGUGAGUAACACGUAUGCAACCUGCCUGUAAGCGGGGAAUAACCCGUUGAAAGACGGACUAAUACCGCAUAAUACUAAAUUACUGCAUGGUAAUUUAUUUAAACAUUUAUGGCUUACAGAUGGGCAUGCGCAUGAUUAGCUAGUUGGAGAGGUAACGGCUCCCCAAGGCAACGAUCAUUAGGGGUUCUGAGAGGAAGGUCCCCCACACUGGUACUGAGACACGGACCAGACUCCUACGGGAGGCAGCAGUGAGGAAUAUUGGUCAAUGGACGAGAGUCUGAACCAGCCAAGUCGCGUGCAGGAAGAAUGUCCUAAUGGAUUGUAAACUGCUUUUGCAGGGGAAUAAAGUGCAUCACGUGUGAUGUUUUGUAUGUACUCUGCGAAUAAGGAUCGGCUAACUCCGUGCCAGCAGCCGC